AUAAAACACUUCCAACAUUCCAGGAGGCUCACUUUUGUCACCUCCCUGUCAAUUCUGUCCCCCAACCUGGGAUAACUAUUGUUCUCAUCUCUCAACCUUCCCAGCUUGGCUUGAAUGACUAUCCUUGAUCAACCAGUCAAAAUUUUACAGUCUGUCUCUUACUUAUUAUAUAACAUCUUAUAAACAUCUGACAAUGCAAAGCAACUAGGUGGCAAAAUGAAACUGCAAUUCUUGCAAAAGCAGAAUUUCAUGACAUUGAUAAAAGUGAAGUUGGAGAACUGUUCCAAUCUCAUGUAUAUUCACGUAUCAAGAGACUAGGUAAAAACUGAAGAAUAAAAGAAGAGAAAAUGGGUAAGGAUGAUGACACAAUAAAUGAUUCCAAAAGGUACUGGCUUAAAUACCAAAGAAUUUUAAAAAAUCUCUUUGGAAGAUUGAUUAAAAUCCUUGAUUUUUAAAAAUUCUUAAUUUUAAAUUAUUUUGUAAAAAUGAUCCCCUUUGAUAGUGUUGCACAGGGUAACACGAACUAAAGGAUAUUGCAUUGUGCCAUUCUACAAUUUUGUCCAAGAAAAUAUGCCUUCUCUCUCCAUGCCAAAUCAGCUCCCUAACAUUCUUUGGACUAAGAAUUUGUGCAUUGUUGCAAUUAAUCAUAAAUUCUGUUAACUUUAAGAUAACUAUUUUUAUUAUAUACUUUGAAAUUUGCUCCUUAUUAUAAGAAAGUUAAUUCACUUUGACCCCUUUGCUGCUACCAUUUAUCCUUGGAUGACAAGUGUUUCUUGUAACUCUGGUCUCUGUGAUGAAGUUUAGAGAUGUAAUUUAUUUAUUGCAUCCACACUGUCCUCACUUGGCCAACAGAAUAGAAGCAUAGAGCAGAUAAGUGAUCUGCAAGGGCCACAGUGAUGGUGUUUCCAUCCAUGUCUGUCUGACUCCAGAGUCUAUUCUCUUUAGGUCAGAAUUCCUCCCAGGACCUCAAAAGUGGAGGCAGCCGGAAACCCAGGGUGAUUCCUUUUACUUUCCAAUCCUCAGUCCUUUGAAUGAGAAAAUGAUGUCUGUAUUCUUACUCUUAUUACUAAUACCCAUGCUUUAUGACUGCAAGGGCAAACCACCUCCACACACAUCUCAUUUGGUCCUUACUACCACCCAAGAGGUGGCGGAGAAACAGGCGAGCAGGAAGCUGAAUGACUGCCCCCAGGACCCCCAGCUCACAAGCAGCAGUGCUGUAACUGGAAUGAACACCUUUAGACUUAGAGAAGAGCAGUACUCUUUUCUCUUUACAACUGUCUCCUGGCAUGAAAAGAGGUCUGGGAAAGCUAGAAAAGAAGUUCACUGACCAAGUUAACAUCUAAGCAACCUUCUAUUGUGACAUUUUCCGGGUGAACAACCAUGCUGUCUCCCCCUAAGGGCAGUGCCUGCAACCCCAGCAAGAGGGCUUUGAAGUCACAAUUCUCACCUUGGAGGCUCAAGAAGUUUCUAGCAUUUGAAUUCUGUACAAUCUUGGGAGAUUUGGAGCAAUUCCUAUGAAAAUCCAGCUGAAGUCAUUGCCGGAUGAGAAACAGUGACGAGGGACUUUUGUUUUCCUCUGAAGUAAAACUUAAAAUCUUCUAAAACCUGAGAAGGGUCACCAUAAGAAUAUGAACAACCUCAAAUUGAAAAAGAACAAACAAUCGCACAUUAGGUAAGUGUUUCUAUAACAUGUAGAAAUGAAGGAUCGUGAAUGACUGUAGACCAAAGUAAGUUGACAAUACAUCCAUAAUGAGAUGUAUUCUAAGGACAAAAACAAGUGAAAGAAAAUUUCGAACUUCAUCCUAUCAUCUUCUAGUUUGUAUUAAUGGUGUUUUUGUUUUGGAGUUAUUUUCUUUUUAUUGUUAGGU